AAAUUCUGAGGAGAUUGAGCUGGCAGUCGAGCACUGUCUGGCAAUCUGCCGAAGCUCUGCUCUUAGCAGAGUGGCUCGGACUAGCCUCUCCCAGUUGUCGUAAGCCAGAACCAUCUUAGUUUCAGCUUUGCUAACUCAGGUUCAUAUGCAUCUGGUAUAUAUUUGUAAAAUUGUAUAACGUAGGAAUUGGAUCAAGUCAACUGCAUAUCCCUGCCCUCAAUCCCUUGCUUGCUAAGUCUAUGUUUCUAAGUCUACAUUUUUUACUGAGAAAAUUAGGUCCAGUGCUACAUAAAGUCAAUAAAAUGAAUGAUUUUAGGAAAAUUGCAACAACGGUCCCAAAUCUUUGAACCUUUUACAAACUUUACCUUAACUUUUAAUUUGUGCCAUCAACGAUCUCAAACCUUUAAAAAAUUAGAACCUUCUCUUUCCGACAUCGUAUCACACAAUUUUUUUAUGUCUCACAAAGAUUUCACUCGGAAAACACUCACUAUGGCUUUUUCCCUCUAUUAAACUCACCACUCGGCCUUUUACCACUCAAACUCUCCCUCCAAGCACUUCAAAGAACUAAGUGAACUAAAUCAAUUGUUUUACCGACAAUUCAAACAAACUGAAUAUUAAUCAAAGACCACGAGACUCAAAGGACUUGAAUAAGUGGAAUAGAUGAAUGUUUUGACACGAAUAUGUUAUAGACUCAAAAGAAGAAUGACAGAUUCGAACCCAAUUGAAUAUCCCAAAAAUCAAACACAAUGUAGGAAUUAUUGUUGGUAAAAAAAACACAAAAUCAAACAAUGAUAUCAAAUUUUUAUAUAUAUAUAUAUAUUUUUUGUUUUUGUGAACAAUGCUUCGAGAUGAACAGUACCUCGAAUCUAUAGUAACCCUUUUUUUUCGUUUUUGUACUCUUUUUUUUUUUUUCUCCUUGAUGAAAGAAGAUGAGUAAACUACCAACAACUCAACAAAAUGAUGAAAAGAAAACAAGAAUGAAGAAAAAACUAAGAAAGAAAAAUUAACGACCCAAACAAAUAAAGAAAAGAUAUAACCUUCAAUUAAUUUGGAGCCAAAGUUCUGAUACCAACUGAUGCGAACCCCGUAGCAGCGUUGACUACGAAGCCCAUAAUGAGAUUAACGAACUCAAGAAAGCCAAAUUAAUCCAAAAUUUAGUAUUAACCCAAAAGAAAGACGAACCAAAAAACUCAAUAAGAACGACGCUUGAAAGACCCCUUGAUCACGCAAUCCAAGAAUUAAAUCUGGUUGUUUGAACGCCACAAGUUAACACUUGAGAAGUUCGAAAUUGUUCAAUUAAGAACGAUGAAGAGAAGACAAUACGCCUCACUUUUAAUUCAAUAUCAAUAAUGUCAAAAGGCCUUUAACAAUUGAAUGGAAACUCCUAUUUAUACUAAACCUAAAAACUAGAUAAAAAUCGUGCAAAAGUCGAGCAAAAUCUCCAAAAUAUGGAAUAAAAUCAAAAGCUAACAUAAUAUGGAAAAUUGCCAAAAUUGAAAAAUUCGACAAAUUUUUGGCCUGUGCGGUCGCAUGAUUCAACAAAAAUUCCAAUUAAAGUUUCGGUAUGCCACUGUGCGGCCGCAUGGUGUUUUGCCUGUGCGGCUGCAAAGGCUUGUUUUCAGCAUCUGGUUUCGUCGCCUAAUAACAAAUUGAUCCAAAUUGAUUCGACCUUCGACCCGAACAUGAAAAUUGUUCCAUUUUGAGUCCCAAACAUGGUUCCAUCAAUGGUUUCUUGAACGAGCAAUCCAAUCGUUUGUUUCACUUGCUUUGCUUUUGAUUGCGUCAUUGGUCCGCCAUCGACUAUCAACGAGUCUCGUCUCGCACUUGCUUUCGUCGGGCUUGACUCCUGGAUCAUAUCAUGUUGUGUUUCUAAAAUUAAGUUAUAUUCUAUAUUUGGUUAAUGCAAGUGAAGUAUAAUCACAUAGCGAUAAUAUGUAGAAGAAAAUAACUAUUCCCUGGAUAAAUUCUAAGAUUUUGAUUAGUAUUUCUCAUUUUUUUUGAGUGGUUUGUUACUUCCAACUUAUAGUGCAUUAUAUUCCUAAAAUGAGGUUAUAUUCCAUGAUAAGUAUAAUUCAUGCACUUAUUUAGACUAUAUUACUAAAUUUUUAUGUUGUCAAAAUAUUAAUUUCUAUUUAACUUGGGUUGAUUUUCUUUUUGUUUUUAGUGAUUGACUCGUUUGAAACAAUUGGAAAGGAAUAAAGACAAAAUCGAAUAAAAUCUAUAAUUUCGGAUCAAAUUACACAAGUUUGAAUUUGAGAAGGACAUUGGUUGCACAUGGAUGACUUCAAGGACUAAACUGAAUGAUUUUAAAAGAAUUGAGGGCUUGAAGAAAAAUAUACAUUAAAUGGGCCUCAAGUAGAGCUAGCAUGGUCCGGUUCGGUUUGAUUCUCUUUAGAAUCGAACCGAACCAAAAAUUUCAGGUAUUUAGUAAGUGAAAUUGUCGGAUUCAAAUAUAGUUAUGGAACCGUUUGGGUUUGGUUCCAUAUCAUAAUUACAUUUUUUAACAUUUACAACAACACUACAUAAAUACAACUAAUAACAUAUUCAAUCAUAGCUUUUCCAAAUUAAUGAAGUCCAAUUCAAAAACAUAUCAAUAACAAGUUGUCCAAUAAGAUUAAUUUAACAACAUAUAUAAAUACCAAAAAUUAGAUAUUAAUACUAAAAUAUUGGCGAUCCAUAUCAAUAAUUCAUUUUCUUCAACAUUCAAGCCUUCAAGUCUACAUAAAACACAAGUGUUAGGGUAAUCCUGGUAAUAUAAGUGCUGCAGCAUAAUAGGAAGGAAAUCUAAAUUAAUCACAAAGAAAAGUUCUGUCAGCUCUUCGAGAGUGCUCAUAGCAGACACUGGUACAUCUGAAACUGAAUUAAAAUAUUGUGUUAAAGCAGUUGCAAUCAAUCACCUGGUAAUCCUGUCUAGGAGAGUGUUUUCUUCAUUGCAGGCUCGACUUAGGCUCCCUAAUUUCACAUCAUAAUUAUCAUCAAGAAGUAUGCUGCUGGCUUGAACAUCUCUUCAUGAGUUCACAAAUUUUUUACCAAAAUUAGAUCCAUUGGGUAGGAUUAAAGCUUAAAACACGAAAAGUAAAGAAUUUAUUCCUUAGCUUUAAACAUGUGAAUGAAAAAAGCAAAAUAACACAUUUGGUGGACUGUUCUUAAUCUCAAGUCUCUUUAUAUUCAACCACUAUAUCAGAAAACAUAAGUAGUUUGAGAAUAUCAAGACGAGGACAGAGUUACAAGGAAUACCCGUGAACAAGAGGUGGAUUACACUCAUGAUGUAGAUAUACUAAACUCUUUGCAGUCCCAAUUGCGAUUUGCAUUCUAGUUCUCCAACUCCACAAUUUUAAACCGAUAUUGCCAUUAGGCUUCGUAAAAGAGAAACUGGACAAGUCUCCAUUGGGCACAUACUCGUAAACUAGAAAUUUGAUAUCCUCGUCUUCAAAGCAAUGUCCCAAAAGACGUACAAAUCCUGAAUGAGCGACCUUGCUAUAAAAUUCCAAUUCUGAAAUGUAUUCAUAUGGACUGACUAACAGCAAAUCAAUUCUUUUGAUGACGACACUGGUUGAAGAAUCCAAUUUUCCUCGAAAGAGAUCUCCUGAGCGACCGCACUUGAUUAGGUGUUUAUCAGCGAAACUAUCAGUGGCGUUUUGAAUCUGCUCAUACUCGAAUGAUUUGCUGAUUUUGGAGAAGUUGAGGAAAAAUGAAUGGAAACCCGGAGGAAAUUCUGAGGAGAUUGAGCUGGCAGUCGAGCACUGUCUGGCAAUCUGCCGAAGCUCUUCUCUUAGCAGAGUGGCUCGGACUAGCCUCUCCUAGUUGUCGUAAGCCAGAACCAUCUUAGUUUCAGCUUUGCUAACUCAGGUUCAUAUGCAUCUGGUAUAUAUUUGUAAAAUUGUAUAACGUAGGAAUUGGAUCAAGUCAACUGCAUAUCCCUGCCCUCAAUCCCUUGCUUGCUAAGUCUAUGUUUCUAAG
rnacentral:lncRNA from 1 species